UACGUAGGGUGCGAGCGUUAAUCGGAAUUACUGGGCGUAAAGCGUGCGCAGGCGGUUCGUUGUGUCCGUCGUGAAAGCCCCGGGCUUAACCUGGGAACUGCGAUGGAAACUAGCGAGCUGGAGUGUGGCAGGAGGGGGGUGGAAUUCCGCGUGUAGCAGUGAAAUGCGUAGAGAUGCGGAGGAACACCGAUGGCGAAGGCAGCCCCCUGGGCUAACACUGACGCCUCAGGCACGAAAGCGUGGGGAGCAAACAGG
rnacentral:rRNA from 1 species